rnacentral:tRNA from 1 species
ACCUGGGUGGCUCAGUUGGUUAAGCGUCUGACUUUAGCUCAGGUCAUGAUCUCAUGGUUGGUGGGUUCAACUCCCGCAUCAGGCU